ensembl:misc_RNA Gm56182 predicted gene, 27421
UUGACAGCUUUGGAAACUGAAGGAUUCUAAUUAUCCACAGAACAGGUACAAUUUGGCCAGUGGCAGAACAUAUGAUUUCAUACUGCACUGCCGAUGUGCCUCAGAUACAUUUCUUAGGACCUCAUGUGGUAUAAAGAUUUUAAGGCUUCUUCCCCAUUCAAGUCUUUGGUAAG